GACGAACGCUGGCGGCGUGCUUAACACAUGCAAGUCGAACGAUGAUGCCCAGCUUGCUGGGUGGAUUAGUGGCGAACGGGUGAGUAACACGUGAGUAACCUGCCCCUGACUCUGGGAUAAGCGUUGGAAACGACGUCUAAUACUGGAUAUGACUGCCGGCCGCAUGGUCUGGUGGUGGAAAGAUUUUUUGGUUGGGGAUGGACUCGCGGCCUAUCAGCUUGUUGGUGAGGUAAUGGCUCACCAAGGCGACGACGGGUAGCCGGCCUGAGAGGGUGAGCGGCCACACUGGGACGGAGACACGGCCCAGACUCCUACGGGAGGCAGCAGUGGGGAAUAUUGCACAAUGGGCGAAAGCCUGAUGCAGCAACGACGCGUGAGGGAUGACGGCCUUCGGGUUGUAAACCUCUUUUAGUAGGGAAGAAGCGAAAGUGACGGUACCUGCAGAAAAAGCACCGGCUAACUACGUGCCAGCCGCCGCAGUAA
rnacentral:rRNA from 1 species